rnacentral:rRNA from 1 species
UACGAAGGGGGCUAGCGUUGUUCGGAAUUACUGGGCGUAAAGCGCACGUAGGCGGAAAUUUAAGUCAGGGGUGAAAUCCCGGGGCUCAACCCCGGAACUGCCUUUGAUACUGGGUUUCUUGAGUUCGGAAGAGGUAAGUGGAAUUGCGAGUGUAGAGGUGAAAUUCGUAGAUAUUCGCAGGAACACCAGUGGCGAAGGCGGCUACUGGUCCGAUACUGACGCUGAGGUGCGAAAGCGUGGGGAGCAAACAGG